rnacentral:rRNA from 1 species
GACAGAGGGUGCAAACGUUGUUCGGAAUUACUGGGCGUAAAGCGCGUGUAGGCGGCAAGCCAAGUCGGGUGUGAAAGCCCUGGGCUCAACCCAGGAAGUGCAUUCGAUACUGGCAGCUAGAGUCCCGGAGAGGAUGGUGGAACUCUCGGUGUAGAGGUGAAAUUCGUAGAUAUCGAGAAGAACACCGGUGGCGAAGGCGGCCAUCUGGACGGUGACUGACGCUGAGACGCGAAGGCGUGGGGAGCAAAC